rnacentral:rRNA from 1 species
GCAUCUAAGUGUGAAACCAACCCCGAGAUGAGAUUUCCCUCUUUUGAUAAGGUCACUGGAAGACUACCAGUUGAUAGGCCGGGCGUGUAAGUGGUGAGAGCCAUUCAGCUUACCGGUACUAAUGACCGAAGACUUGACCA